rnacentral:rRNA from 1 species
AUUGAACGCUGGCGGCAUGCUUUACACAUGCAAGUCGGACGGCAGCACAGAGAAGCUUGCUUCUUGGGUGGCGAGUGGCGAACGGGUGAGUAACAUAUCGGAACGUACCGAGCAGUGGGGGAUAACUAAUCGAAAGAUUAGCUAAUACCGCAUAUUUUCUGAGGAAGAAAGCAGGGGACCAUUUGGCCUUGCGCUGUUUGAGCGGCCGAUAUCUGAUUAGCUAGUUGGUGGGGUAAAGGCUUACCAAGGCGACGAUCAGUAGCGGGUCUGAGAGGAUGAUCCGCCACACUGGGACUGAGACACGGCCCAGACUCCUACGGGAGGCAGCAGUGGGGAAUUUUGGACAAUGGGCGCAAGCCUGAUCCAGCCAUGCCGCGUGUCUGAAGAAGGCCUUCGGGUUGUAAAGGACUUUGUCAGGGAAGAAAAGGGCGGGGUUAAUACCCCUG